rnacentral:rRNA from 1 species
GACGAACCGAGCGAACGUUGUUCGGAAUCACUGGGCUUAAAGGGCGCGUAGGCGGGUGCUCAAGUCCGGGGUGAAAUCCUCCAGCUCAACUGGAGAACUGCCUCGGAUACUGGGCGUCUCGAGUGUGGUAGGGGUGUGCGGAACUAUCGGUGGAGCGGUGAAAUGCGUAGAUAUCGGAAGGAACAUCAGUGGCGAAAGCGACUUCCUGGACCAGUACCGACGUUCAGGCACGAAAGCGUGGGGAGCAA